UACGGAAGGUGCAAGCGUUAUCCGGAUUUAUUGGGUUUAAAGGGUACGUAGGCGGUAAUUUAAGUCAGUGGUGAAAUCCAGCAGCUCAACUGUUGAACUGCCAUUGAAACUAUUUUACUUGAGUUUAGUCGAAGUAGGUGGAAUUCCGCAUGUAGUGGUGAAAUGCAUAGAUAUGCGGAGGAACACCGAUAACGAAGGUAGCCUACUAGGCUAAUACUGACGCUGAGGUACGAAAGCGUGGGGAGCAAACGGG
rnacentral:rRNA from 1 species